GGGCUUCUGCGAAGUUGGUGAUGGCUGGCGAAGUUAGAGCCAACACGAGAACGUUUGGGAGGCCGAUGCGAGGGACCUUAUCAAGGUAGGCCCCGCCCAGGGAGCGGGGAAACCGACGAUAAGGGCUAGGCCACCCACCUGGAGCAAUCCAGGUUCAACUGUCGCCACCACACGGCCAAGCGGAAGCCCC
rnacentral:other from 1 species